rnacentral:rRNA from 1 species
GUGCCAGUCGCCGCGGUAAUACGUAUGUCCCGAGCGUUAUCCGGAUUUAUUGGGCGUAAAGCGAGCGCAGACGGUUGAUUAAGUCUGAUGUGAAAGCCCGGAGCUCAACUCCGGAAAGGCAUUGGAAACUGGUCAACUUGAGUGCAGUAGAGGUAAGUGGAACUCCAUGUGUAGCGGUGGAAUGCGUAGAUAUAUGGAAGAACACCAGCGGCGAAGGCGGCUUACUGGACUGUAACUGACGUUGAGGCUCGAAAGUGUGGGUAGCAAACAGGAUUAGAUACCCUGGUAGUCCACACCGUAAACGAUGAACACUAGGUGUUAGGAGGUUUCCGCCUCUUAGUGCCGAAGCUAACGCAUUAAGUGUUCCGCCUGGGGAGUACGACCGCAAGGUUGAAACUCAAAGGAAUUGACAGGGACCCGCACAAGCGGUGGAGCAUGUGGUUUAAUUCGAAGCAACGCGAAGAACCUUACCAGGUCUUGACAUCCUUUGAAGCUUUUAGAGAUAGAAGUGUUCUCUUCGGAGACAAAGUGACAGGUGGUGCAUGGUCGUCGUCAGCUCGUGUCGUGAGAUGUUGGGUUAAGUCCCGCAACGAGCGCAACCCUUAUUGUUAGUUGCCAGCAUUCAGAUGGGCACUCUAGCGAGACUGCCGGUGACAAACCGGAGGAAGGCGGGGACGACGUCAGAUCAUCAUGCCCCUUAUGACCUGGGCUACACACGUGCUACAAUGGCGUAUACAACGAGUUGCCAACCUGUGAAGGUGAGCUAAUCUCUUAAAGUACGUCUCAGUUCGGACUGCAGUCUGCAACUCGACUGCACGAAGUCGGAAUCGCUAGUAAUCGCGGAUCAGCACGCCGCGGUGAAUACGUUCCCGGGUCUUGUACACACCGCCCGU